GAAGAGACCAAGCAGCUUGAUGACUGACUGGCUCUUUAUACUCAAGACCUCGUCCCGGAGCAGAGGACGGACCUAAGGCCCGCAGCGCAGCCGACUAGAGACUCCAUGUGGAACCGGUUCAAUUAAGUUGACCUCUCCUUCAGGCGACUUAAAGGGAGACCAGAUGUGCGGCAGCUGGGUGUCAUGGUGCAGAGACCCAACGCUGUACUGAACUACACCAGUGUGUCCUACUCCCAUAAACCCUGAGGAUCCCUGGAUGGCUACACCAGCACAUUAAUCCACACCCAACAUCAACACACAGUGCACACUCUAUAAAGCUCGUAAGUCCGCCCCUUGCGGCGGGACCUUGUGAGAUCGUAAGAUAUGACUGGGUUUCAAUGGAGAGAAAGUAAAUAUUUUCUCCAUUUUAUGUUGCACCACAUUUUGGGGGAAGAAUGUUUGAAUCGAUCUUUGUCAUUUAUUUCUGUACUCCAUAUCUGUAAUCCCAGCUGUUGUAUUUUAACACGGUAGCUGGGAACCCUCUUUAUAGGGAGCGA